CCAAUAGCGUAUAUUAAAGUUGUUGCAGUUAAAAAGCUCGUAGUUGAAUUUCGGGCUUAGUACGCUGGUCGUGCCUUCGGUAUGUACUGGUGUUACUGGUUCCUACCUUCUGACGAACCGUCAUGUCAUUAAUUUGGUGUGGCGGGGAAUCAGGACUGUUACUUUGAAAAAAUUAUAGUGUUUAAAGCAGGCUCGCGCUUGAAUACCUUAGCAUGGCAUAAUGGAAUAGGACGUUCGAUCCUAUUUUGUUGGUUUCUAGGAUUGACGUAAUGAUUAAUAGGGAUAGUUGGGGGCAUUAGUAUUCAAUUGUCAGAGGUGAAAUUCUUGGAUUUAUUGAAGACUAACUACUGCGAAAGCAUUUGCCAAGGAUGUUUUCAUUAAUAAAGAACGAAAGUUAGGGGAUCGAAGACGAUCAGAUACCGUCGUAGUCUUAACCAUAAACUAUGCCGACUAGGGAUCGGAUGAUGUUAUUUUUAAUGACUCAUUCGGCGCCUUACG
rnacentral:rRNA from 1 species